UUUGGGAAAUGAUGAGACUGUUAAACCAUUUUUGUUCAGAGGCUCUAUUAGAUUAUCUGGGUUGUGCUGAACAAUCUUUUGCACAUCAGUCUGAUUCUGAA